rnacentral:rRNA from 1 species
CCUACGGGUGGCAGCAGUGAGGAAUAUUGGUCAAUGGCCGGAAGGCUGAACCAGCCAAGCCGCGUGAAGGACGAAGGUGCCAAGCAUUGUAAACUUCUUUUGUCAAGGGACAAAAUCAGGCUCGAGAGCCUGCCCGAGGGUACUUGAAGAACAAGCAUCGGCUAACUCCGUGCCAGCAGCCGCGGUAAUACGUAGGAUCCGAGCAUUAUCCGGAGUGACUGGGUGUAAAGAGUUGCGUAGGUGGCAUAAUAAGUAGCUAGUGAAAUCUGGUGGCUCAACCAUUCAGACUAUUAGCUAAACUGUUAAGCUCGAGACCGUUAGGGGUAACUGGAAUUUCUAGUGUAGGAGUGAAAUCCGUAGAUAUUAGAAGGAACACCAAUAGCGUAGGCAGGUUACUGGGACGGUUCUGACACUAAGGCACGAAAGCGUAGGGAGCAAACGGGAUUAGAUACCCCCGUAGUC